rnacentral:rRNA from 1 species
CCUACGGGUGGCAGCAGUGGGGAAUAUUGCGCAAUGGGCGAAAGCCUGACGCAGCGACGCAGCGUGAGGGAUGAAGGUCUUCGGAUCGGAAACCUCUGUCAGCAGGGAAGUACGGUCACUGUGCUAAUCAGCAGUGAAUUGACGGUACCUGCAAAGGAAGCACCGGCUCACUCCGUGCCAGCAGCCGCGGUAAUACGGAGGGUGCGAGCGUGAAUCGGAAUUACUGGGCGUAAAGCGCUCGUAGGCGGUAUGUCAAGUCAAGGGUGAAAGUUCCGCGCUCAACGGGGGAACUGCCUUUGAAACUGGCAAACUGGAGUGUGUGAGAGGAUAGUGGAAUUCGAGGUGUAGGAGUGAAAUGCGUAGAUAUCUGGAAGAACAUCAGUGGCGAAGGCGACUAUCUGGCACAUAACUGACGCUGAGGAGCGAAAGCGUGGGUAGCAAACAGGAUUAGAUACCCGAGUAGUC